GGGGAAUAUUGGACAAUGGGCGCAAGCCUGAUCCAGCCAUGCCGCGUGAGUGAUGAAGGCCUUAGGGUUGUAAAGCUCUUUUAGCGGGGAAGAUAAUGACGGUACCCGCAGAAAAAGCCCCGGCUAACUUCGUGCCAGCAGCCGCGGUAAUACGAAGGGGGCUAGCGUUGCUCGGAAUUACUGGGCGUAAAGCGCACGUAGGCGGACUCUUAAGUCGGUGGUGAAAUCCUGGAGCUCAACUCCAGAACUGCCUUCGAUACUGGGAGUUUUGAGUUGGGGAGAGGUGGGUGGAUCUGCGAGGGUAGGGGUGAAAUUCGUAGAUAUUCGCAAGAACACCAGUGGGGAAGGCGGCUCACUGGCCCGAUACUGACGCUGAGGUGCGAAAGCGUGGGAGCAAACA
rnacentral:rRNA from 1 species